ACACCUGCUCGUCUUCACGCAGGUGUUUUUCAAUCAGCUGAUGACCGCUGAUUGCUUCCUCCUCCUCUUCUUAUUUAAUCUCCCUCCAGCCAACAGGUCUGUGAUGUUACUAUGAAGAGAAGCUGCACGAGCCGUGGAACGAUAUAAAAAAGACGCGAAAAAAGUGUCGCAAAUGAAACUGUUGCGGGAGGAGGCAACUUGUGGCGGUAAUGCGCCAACCGCCCUAAAACCUCAAAAAAGAAAGAAGAGAAAAAAAGAAAACUACCGCUGCGUGACGCCAGACGCCGAAAAUGUGGAUUAGCGCAUUAGCUCCUGUAUAAAAACGCAGCAAGGCGCUCCGGGGUGGCGUGUUCGACCUGGUCCAGAUUGAUGACCCGUCCAGAAUGGAACAACCUGCUUCCUGCUCACGGAGACCUGGUCGGACCCGCCAUAUACAAAAGCCUGAGGCUGUCAAAAAAAGAUUGAUCUUCAUGAAGAUCGUCAAAGAGUAGGUGUCAUGCUUUAAUUCUGGGUGGCCGCUGUGUCCCCACUCUUUCUUGGCCGCUGUGCCUACAUCUCUCUUCAUUGUCCAACAUGGCCACGUUCUUUCUAUUCUCC